rnacentral:rRNA from 1 species
CCCCCAGACUCCUACGGGAGGCAGCAGUGGGGAAUAUUGCACAAUGGGCGCAAGCCUGAUGCAGCCAUGCCGCGUGUAUGAAGAAGGCCUUCGGGUUGUAAAGUACUUUCAGCGAGGAGGACGGCGAUAAGGUUAAUAACCUUGUCGAUUGACGUUACCCGCAAAAGAAGCACCGGCUAACUCCGUGCCAGCAGCCGCGGUAAUACGGAGGGGGCAAGCGUUAAUCGGAAUUACUGGGCGUAAAGCGCACGCAGGCGGUCUGUCAAGUCGGAUGUGAAAUCCCCGGGCUCAACCUGGGAACUGCAUUCGAAACUGGCAGGCUGGAGUCUUGUAGAGGGGGGUAGAAUUCCAGGUGUAGCGGUGAAAUGCGUAGAGAUCUGGAGGAAUACCGGUGGCGAAGGCGGCCCCCUGGACAAAGACUGACGCUCAGGUGCGAAAGCGUGGGGAGCAAACAGGAUUAGAUACCCCAGUAAA